rnacentral:rRNA from 2 species
UAAAGAAGAACACCUUUGAGAGUAACUGUUCAAGGGUUGACGGUAUUUAACCAGAAAGCCACGGCUAACUACGUGCCAGCAGCCGCGGUAAUACGUAGGUGGCAAGCGUUGUCUCGGCACUUAUUGCGCGUAAAGCGAGCGCACGCGGUUUUUUAAGUCUGAUGUGAAAGCCUUCGGCUUAACCGGAGAAGUGCAUCGGAAACUGGGAGACUUGAGUGCAGAAGAGGACAAUGGAACUCCAUGUGUAGCGGUGGAAUGCGUAGAUAUAUGGAAGAACACCAGUGGCGAAGGCGCCUGUCUAGUCUGUAACAGACACUGAAGGCACGAAAGAACCGCGGUAGCGAACAGGAUUAGAUACCCUGGUAGUCCAUGCCGUAAACGAUGAGUGCUAAGUGUUGGAGGGUUUCCGCCCUUCAGUGCUGCAGCUAACGCA